UAUAUAGAGAGAGAGAGUUGGAUUAGAAUAUUAUUGAUAAUAUUUUUUCUCUUUUACUAUUAAGUUUUAACCGUUGGAUCAGAAAUUAUAAGAUUAGGAUGAUAUUAAUAUCUUAGAAUUGAAUGGUCCCCCUAAGGUUGAGUGGUUCUCAUUGAAUUAUAAUAUUUAAUCCAAUGAUUAAAAAUGAUCAAAAGAAUUGAUACAAAGCCUAAAAAUUUGAUAGCAAAAAGAGACAAAUACUAUUUAUAGUACUCUGGUCCAACUCUAUACAUAUAUAUAUAUAUAUAUAUAUAUAUAUAUAUAAAACAAC
rnacentral:lncRNA from 1 species